rnacentral:rRNA from 1 species
GAUGAACGCUGGCGGCGUGCCUAAUACAUGCAAGUCGAGCGAACAGAUGAGGAGCUUGCUCCUCUGACGUUAGCGGCGGACGGGUGAGUAACACGUGGAUAACCUACCUAUAAGACUGGGAUAACUUCGGGAAACCGGAGCUAAUACCGGAUAAUAUAUUGAACCGCAUGGUUCAAUAGUGAAAGACGGUUUUGCUGUCACUUAUAGAUGGAUCCGCGCCGCAUUAGCUAGUUGGUAAGGUAACGGCUUACCAAGGCAACGAUGCGUAGCCGACCUGAGAGGGUGAUCGGCCACACUGGAACUGAGACACGGUCCAGACUCCUACGGGAGGCAGCAGUAGGGAAUCUUCCGCAAUGGGCGAAAGCCUGACGGAGCAACGCCGCGUGAGUGAUGAAGGUCUUCGGAUCGUAAAACUCUGUUAGUAGGGAAGAACAAAUGUGUAAGUAACUAUGUACGUCUUGACGGUACCUAAUCAGAAAGCCACGGCUAACUACGUG